GUGCCAGCAGCCGCGGUAACACGUAGGGCGCAAGCGUUGUCCGGAAUUAUUGGGCGUAAAGAGCUCGUAGGCGGUCUGUUGCGUCCGCUGUGAAAACUCGGGGCUUAACCCCGAGCCUGCAGUGGAUACGGGCAGACUAGAGGUAGGUAGGGGAGAAUGGAAUUCCCGGUGUAGCGGUGAAAUGCGCAGAUAUCGGGAGGAACACCGGUGGCGAAGGCGGUUCUCUGGGCCUUACCUGACGCUGAGGAGCGAAAGCGUGGGGAGCGAACAGGAUUAGAUACCCUGGUAGUCC
rnacentral:rRNA from 1 species